CAGUGCAGUGGCUCCUCCGGCUCACGUUGUGGUUGGGUAUUUUGCUCUGCUUAACCUGUAGAGAAGAAAACGGUGAUCACAACGGUGAACAAAUUACGCAGAACGAUAAUUGAAAAAGGCCUCAUAGGAGGCAUUUUAUGGAAUUCCCCGCGGUGGCACUACUGGACUUGUCCCACGGUUUUCGGUCAAUAGGUUAGUCCUUUUAUUUCGAUUUGGUCAUGAGUAUGUUUAAAAUUAAAUUCUGAGUAAGGGAGAAAAUUUUCACCUCUUUUGGCGGUCGGAAAGGGCUUCGGCGCGGUGGCGGGUGGCGGCGGUCUCCUUCCCAACGGCUGGGCCUUCUUUUUCAGCGAGGGGGUCUAGUGGCUAGGGUUAGGGUUUGGUGUGGUUGGAGAUUAUUUAUAUCCGUUCGCUUUUGAUCUGAAUCGUCCGAUCACGAUUAAAUAGGAAGUGAAUCUAGGCCGUUCAUCACGAUCUAAUCUGGGCCAUUCAUCGUGAUCUAAUCUGGACCAUCUGAUCGCAUUCAAAUUUGACUAUUCAAUCGCGUUUGGGGAGGGA
rnacentral:lncRNA from 1 species